GAUGAACGCUGGCGGCGUGCCUAAUACAUGCAAGUCGAGCGGACGGACGAGAAGCUUGCUUCUCUGAUGUUAGCGGCGGACGGGUGAGUAACACGUGGAUAACCUACCUAUAAGACUGGGAUAACUUCGGGAAACCGGAGCUAAUACCGGAUGAUUUUUGAACCGCAUGGUUCAAAAGUGAAAGACGGUCUUGCUGUCACUUAUAGAUGGAUCCGCGCUGCAUUAGCUAGUUGGUAAGGUAACGGCUUACCAAGGCAACGAUGCAUAGCCGACCUGAGAGGGUGAUCGGCCACACUGGAACUGAGACACGGUCCAGACUCCUACGGGAGGCAGCAGUAGGGAAUCUUCCGCAAUGGGCGAAAGCCUGACGGAGCAACGCCGCGUGAGUGAUGAAGGUCUUCGGAUCGUAAAACUCUGUUAUUAGGGAAGAACAUAUGUGUAAGUAACUGUGCACAUCUUGACGGUACCUAAUCAGAAAGCCACGGCUAACUACGU
rnacentral:rRNA from 1 species